rnacentral:tRNA from 1 species
UCAAAAAUGCAAGUUGGUUAUAAAAAGUUUUUAUCAAUAUCAAGAAGAAAAGUUGCUAAAGACCACUAAAAGUGCUCGUAUUGGAACUUUGAAAACUUUUCCUACACCUCUACAAACUUUUCCGAUCAUUUCAAGCACCCCACAGAUGGCGCUUUUAACAAACGUCAAAAAUGCAAGUUGGUUAUAAAAAGUUUUUAUCAAUAUCGAGAAGAAAAGUUGCUAAAGACCACUAAAAGUGCUCGUAUUGGAACUUUGAAAACUUUUCCCACACCUCUACAAACUUUUCCGAUCAUUUCAAGCACCCCACAGAUGGCGCUUCUGACAAACGUCAAAGAUACAAAUUGGUUAUAAACAGUUUUUUAAUAAAAAUCGAGAAGAAAAGUUGCUAAAGACCACAAAAAGUGAUCGUAUUGGAACUUUGAAAACUUUUCCUACACCUCUACAAACUUUUCCGAUCAUUUCAAGUUGAAAUUGGGUUAAAAUGAAGUUGGCUUUUGGGGAAAUGGAAUCGUAUGUAUAUGGUUUCCGUGGUGUAGUGGUUAUCACAUCCGCCUAACACGCGGAAGGCCCCCGGUUCGAUCCCGGGCGGAAACAUUUAUUUUUUUUUUAAGAAAUUGAUGAAGUGAAAUUUUCAUGGUAGAAAAAAUUUUUUUUUAAUAAUUUAAAUUAUGUGGCCUUUCCACUCUUCAAUUUGUCUGUCCUUCGAUGUGCAGCUGUUUAAUAGCCCGUGUCCUGGCGCCAGGACUUCCACCUAUUAUUUUCACCCGCCACCAUAUGCCCUUAUACCAAGAGAGUCCCCUCUCUUUUGUAUUAUUUUUCGGUCCCUAACUAUAAUCUUAUGGGUCGCUGCUCAUAUUUUAAAAGUUGCUUUAUACCCCAUAAUGACAUACAAUUCCUCUCCGAUACUAUUUCCUGUUCCAAAACUUACCUGCAUCAUAACGAGCUAUCUAGCAAAUUGUUUGCGGAUUAGUAACAUUAUUCGGCGGGAAAUUUGAAAUCGGAGAAGCCUGUUACUUCCUCUGCGCUAACCUAAACCGCAAAACAGGUUGCCCCCCACGGUUACGAAGGGGGGUCGGGCUCGUGUCCCGCGACCGAGCGUCGAGAGUGCGCGCGGGGGGCCCUAGAACACGGGGCCCCCCUCGUCGCUCCCGUUCUCGUCGUCGUCGUUGCUCGCACGUACCUCCGGUUUUCUAUAAAUAAAUUUUCACUUAUAUAUUAGCAUCGGUAAUGCGUGAGUGCGCGUCGGUCGCGGUGGUGGGGGUACCGGCGCACCGGUUAGAACAAGACAAACGGUUGAUUUUUGGUCCCUUUCUAUCAAGACUAAUUCAUAAACUGACAAUGAAGUGUAGUCAUAGAAAAUUGCUAGAUCACUUAUGAUUUAUUAUUAUUAACAAACUAUUUUUAUUAUUUUAGCACCAUAUCAAAAAAAUAAUUCGAGUGAAAUUGGACAUUAUCAGAAUCAUAAAUGUCAAUUUUUGAUUUAUAUGGGAUAUUGAUUUCGUCAAGAUGGGUUGAGUUUAGCGUUGGUGUUCAAGAAAUGCAAUAACGAUAUUUUCAUAAAACAUAACCUACUUCUAAUUCCUACCAAGUCAAAGUCAAUACGAUGUGUUUAAUUGCAAGCAAUACUGAAGCACUACUGAAGAACGGAGGACCUAACCUUACCAAAGCGUUAACUGACCUCAUACAGAAAGUGUGGACAUGCUGAGAACGCAUGCUAAAAUUUGGAAACUGAGUAUUGCAAAAACUUUAGGAGAAUAUCUCUACAUAGUACAGCUUAUAGAACCUAGAAACAAGGACGUCCAACAACAGAGAGUAAAAUACGAUACUUUCAAGAUAAGUCAGGGUCUGAAACAAUGAGAUGGAUUAGCACCAGUGAUAUUCAACCUGGCGCUGGAACAUGAAGUAAGAAAAACGACAGUUGAUGUGAACUCAUUAACAUAAUCACAGAGCUGGAGGGAGCAACAAUAGAGGUGGACCUGAAGGUGCUCAUACAAUUGUACUGUUACAGAGAAGUAACAGAACGAGAAUGCAAAAUCUAACGUAAAUGACUUUGUAUAUCUUGGCAGCACUAUAUACAACAUCCGGGACGAAAUGAGAAAAAUACGCAGAAGAUAGGACGUACCAAUAAAACGUACUACGCCCUGUCCAACCUUUUCAAGUCUGGAAACGUUAAUAGAAAAACAAAGAUACAGCUUUAUAAGACAAAUAUAAGAGCAGCCCUAUGCUAUGGUAGUGAAGUUUGGAUGCUGUCACAAAAGGCCGAAUCAGACCUUGAUGCUUUCGAGAGAAAGAUUCUGCGUAGAAUCCACGGUCCGGUUAAAGAAGACGAACAAUGGAGAAUAUGAUACAACCAAUCUCGUUAAGGAAGCUAGUGUUUCAACGCAUAUAAAACUGCAAAGACUCAAAUGAGCGGGUCAUAUGGAAGCAAUGGACGUUUCAAGACUGUUGGACAAAAGAGUGCAACAGUCUCAAGGAACUUGAAGGCAGAAAAGAAGACCAGGUGAUCGCUGGUGGGAUAAAGUGGAAACAGAUGCACGAACCAUACUACAGGUGUAUAAUUGGACGGGCCUGGAGGAGGAAAAUAGAGGAGGCCAUGGGCCAAAUUGGACUGUAGUGCCAUUAAUUGGAUGGAAUAUUCUCUAUUCCAUCCAACUCGUCUAUGAGCGAGGAGGCCAUCGAUCUCUGCUUAUCAACCAGACAUCAAAUUACUGAUGCAAAUGUUCCCAUGUCCUUCCUGUAGUAUGAGUAGUUGCUCCAUCUUAUUGGAAACAUUGUCAAUCAAACACCAACUUUUUGAGGAUGUAAAGGACUCUCAACAAUAACAUGUGGAUUUUCUGUAGCCCAUAUUCGACAGUUUUAUGUAUUUACAUAAACGCUCAAAUGAAACCAUGCUUCGUCACUAAAAAAUGUGAGGUCUAACAUGUCAUCAUUAUUUAAAACUUUGUUAAACCAAUGACACUACUGUACAGGACGAGGAAAGUCAGGAAGCUGUAGCUGUUAAAUCACAGUCACCUUGUAUGGAUGCAUAUCCAAUAUUUUUUUCGCUGAUAAGCAUCGUAACUAUUUCUUCGGCCUUACUACUAUUCUUUCACGAACAUCUUCAACGAUAUCCUCUGUAAGAACUAGCUGUAGAUUUUUUUACUAACCUAAGACGUUUCUCUAAAUCUUUUAAUUAUACGGCGUAUAUGUUGAAUAAGGGAAUCAGAAAUAACGUUGACUUCAAGAAACGCCACUUAAAAUUGCUGAUGGAAACUUUGUUACGAAUAUUUCAAAAUUCCUCCUUUAUUUACCAACGAGAAGUAUGCGCUUAUUAUAAAAGAAAUAUAAAAUAUAACUCAAAAGCAAUUAAAACAAACCACGCUACUGAUUGUUAAAAAUACGAUGCAAUACGUCAAAAACACAAGCCGCUACCAACGUUGUUUGUCAAAUGUUACUAAAACAAAAGCGCGCCAAAUUCAAACACCUUACAAUCAUUAUUGAACGCUCUAUACCAGAUUGCAUUUUAUUCAGCCGAGGCAGUACAAUAUUGCGUCAAUUGUCUGCCUCGGCUUAACUAGAAAAGGAAAUGCCUGAUUAUAUUUGAUUCAGCCGAGGUUGCUUGCGGACGAGGCAGUACAAUAUUGUAUCCAUUAUAAUGCCUCGGCCGCAAGCGACCUCGGCUUCAUAUAAUUUAAUUACGACUUCGGCUAAAUUAGGGGAUCUAAUAUUUUUAAUUGCUGAAAUUGUAUGCGGUGUAUGUUGUUCUAAGUGUUUGUUGUAACUUAAGCCGAGGUCGCUUGCGGCCAAAGCAGUGUAAUUAAUACAAAUGCCUGGUUGUAAUUGAUUCAGUCAAUGUCUUUUGCAGCAGAGGAAGUGGAAUAUUGUGUCAUUUGUGGUGCCUCGGCCGCAAGUGAUCACGGCUUAACUAUAUAGAAAAGGAAAUGCCUGAUUAUAUUUCAUUCAGCCGAGGUUGCUUGCGGUCGAGGCAGUACAAUAUUAUAUCCAUUAUAACGACUCGGCCGCAAGCGACCUCGGCUUCAUGUAGAUUACAACUUCGGAUAAAUUAGGGAAUCCAAUAUUUUCUGUUUUAAGGUAAGCCGAAAUUGUAUACGGUCAAGACACUUGUUUUAGGUGUUUGUUGUAACUUGAGCCGAGGUCGCUUGCGGCGGAGGCAUUAUAAUUAAUACAAAUGCCUGGUUGUAACUGAUUCAGUCGAUGUCUUUUACAGCCGAGGAAGUGGAAUAUUGUGUCGUUUGUGCUGCCUCGGCCGCAAGCGACCUCGGCUUAACUUGAAGCGUAAAUGCAUGAUAUUUGAUUCAACCGAGGUCGCUUGCGGUCGAGGCAGUACAAUAUUGUAUCAAUUAUAAUGCCUCGGCCGCAAGCGACCUCGCCUUCAUGUACAGUGUGUCCGUAAAGUAACGGAUAUAGGUGAUAAAAUCAUUAUAAACGGUUUAUUAAAAAGCCCCUGCGUCCUUUACAGCCGAGGAAGUGGAAUAUUGUGCUGCCUCGGUCGUAAGCGACCUUGGCUUAACUUGAAGAGAAAACGCCUGAUUAUAUUUGAUACAACCGAGGUUGCUUGCGGUUGAAGUAGUACAAUACUGUAUCAAUUAUAAUGCCUCGGCCGCAAGCGACCUCGGCUUCAUAUAAAUUGUAUGCGGUCAAGGCACAUGUUUCAAUUGUUUGUUGUAACUUAAGCCGAGGUCGCUUGCG